UCCUUUUUAAACCUAGGUAUACUGUACUUAAACCCAAUGUUUUUCUUUGUUCUGUGUAGAGACCUCCAGAGACCUUGCUAAUGCAUCAUCGUGCAGAGCUUCUGUAAUGUGCCAUCUCUCAAAAUAUUCGUCCCUCUUUUUAACACUUGUUCCGGUUGCUAGGAGACGAAAAGCCACGGAAACAAACGGGUCAAACGGGAGGAGUAGAACGCUGAGAUAUAUUUGGGCAGGCAGAGGAAACACAGUUUGCACAGGUGUACCACAGUACAGAUUCCUCAAGAUAACCCCCCUCCUUCCGCUGGAGCUUCACACAGUCUUGGCAUUCUCUCAAGCAGUUUCAUCAGCAGCCACCUGGGAUGCUUCUCCAGCAGACUUGAAAAAGAUACUCAGAGGCUUUCUAAGACCUUGCUGGCUGCUGAAAAGGAUGUCUUGGACGAUGUUUAAAAAAAGACGUGUUUUUCCCACUGAGAUAAACUCAUACCUAGACGUAAACAAUUGUCCAGAUUUUAAAAGGCUUGAGUCUUUGGGUCAAAAUUCAUUCAGACAGGUUGCUCAGGAUGGUUGCGAUGAAAUCUUAUGUGAAGUGAAAUUUUGAAAUUGAAAUCUUAUGUGAAUUACAACAUGGAACAGAACAUCCUUGCUAUUCAUGACUAUCUUAUGAGAAAUUGCUGUCAAAAUUUGAGGUAAGAUCAUUAAAUAUUAACUAACUCUGCUGUUUCUAAGCAUUAAGAAAGUCUCGCACCAAUGGGAGAUCCUUCAAAUGUAAUGAAUUUGACAAAAAAUGGUUCAAAUGUAACAACCACAGGGGUUGGACAAUGAAACUGAAACAUCUAAUAAUUGAUUGUGGUGACGGACAGUUCUGGUGGAAACAGGAGAGUUGAGGUGCACAUUGAAUUCUGCGUGAUUUGAUCAGCCGUGGUUUUAUGUUUUUUGGAUACAAUCCGGGUUAGCACCCGAACAUCCCUUUCAGACAGCUUCCUCUUACAGCGUCCACAGUUAAUCCUGUUGUGGUUGAUCCUUCUUGGUGGUAUCUCGCUGACAUUACCCUGGAUACCGUGGCUCUUGAUGCAUCACAAAGACUUGCUGUCUUGGUCACAGAUGCACCAGCAAGACGUGCACCAACAAUUUGUCCUCUUUUGAGCUCUGGUAUGUCAC